rnacentral:lncRNA from 1 species
UUUUUUGGCAAAGGUGUUGUUUUCGUUUAUUUGUUCUCUCUCUUUUGCUCGCUUCCUUUAACCCUAAACCCUAAACCCAAUCUGUUAUGGAUGCGGUGGUGGGUGUGGCCACGACGGCGCUUCUUCAGGUGGUGAUGGUAGGGUUCAUUUAGGCUCAUGAGUUGAUUUAGGGUUUGGUUAUGUUGGGUUUGUGGGCUUUGUUUGGGUUUAUAACUAAUUGUGGUGAUGUGG